UAUUUAGUUAUUAACUAGUUAUUCAUUUUGUGUUGUGUGCCUCACUAAAUUGUAUAGGGGCCAGAAUAAUUAAGCAUUGCAGUCAGCGGUCUUGAACUAUUAACCAGACAUGCAUGAGCUACUUGUUUAUUAAAGCACUUAAACAUGUCAUUUGCUGAAUUUCUGUUGGCAUCUUUUUAUAAAACUUAGCUGUUCUAGUUGAUGGGCAUUAUGUUAGAAACCUUAUAAUUGCAUCCUUGCUUGUAUAUUCCUCUAUUGUUCUCACUCUCUCCUUUUCUUUUCUCUUUUCAUUUAUUUAUUUAUUUUGGGUGCGGUUG
rnacentral:misc_RNA from 1 species